CGUAGGAGGCAAGCGUUAUCCGGAUUCACUGGGCGUAAAGCGCAUGCAGGCGGUGCGGUAAGUUGGGCGUGAAAUCUCCCGGCUCAACUGGGAGAGGUCGUCCAAUACUACCGUACUUGAGAGCAGAAGAGGAAGAUGGAAUUCCCGGUGUAGUGGUGAAAUGCGUAGAUAUCGGGAGGAACACCAGUGGCGAAGGCGAUCUUCUGGUCUGUUUCUGACGCUCAUAUGCGACAGCUAGGGUAGUAAACGGGAUUAGAGACCCCCGGUAAUCCUAGCCGUAAACGAUGUGAACUUGGCGUUGGUGGGUUAAACUCCAUCAGUGCCGUAGCAAACGCGAUAAGUUCACCGCCUGGGGACUACGGCCGCAAGGUUA
rnacentral:rRNA from 1 species